rnacentral:rRNA from 1 species
UACGAAGGGGGCUAGCGUUGUUCGGAAUUACUGGGCGUAAAGCGCGUGUAGGCGGGUCUUUAAGUCAGGGGUGAAAUGCCAAGGCUCAACCUUGGAACUGCCUUUGAUACUGGAGACCUUGAAGUCCGGGAGAGGUGAGUGGAAUUGCGAGUGUAGAGGUGAAAUUCGUAGAUAUUCGCAAGAACACCAGUGGCGAAAGGCGGCUC